GAUGGGCUGGAGGCCUAUGAUUGGCGGCGAGCUUAUUUACGUUCCUCUAUUUUUCGAACUACUUUGGUCCCUUCCUUCAGCUGCUCUUUUUCAUUUGCAACUUUUUUCCUGUCCUGUGCCGUGAGAAGAGGCAACACAAGUCCAACGUCAGUGGCUCUCCUUCGCUUUCCUCUCUGUUCCUUUUUCCCCCCUCUUCCAGCCUCCCUCUCCCUCUCUCCCUCUCUCUCCCUCUCCCUCUCCCUCUCUCUCUCUCCUCUUAUCCUUAAACUCUCAAACGCUGAAUCAGCUGCUGGUGUACGGACUCUCCUCCUGCCAUUCUGAUCUGCACGGUUCUGAUGUUACUGAGCUGUGAAGUACCCCAAAACUACCACACCUCUCCUCCUCAAAUGCUUUGCUAAAGCUGGUAAAAUGGAACCAAAUCAACUGUUCUAUGGAUUUGGUCCCCUUCAACCAGCUGUAGCUGUGCAUUGAUCACCUCAAAGGACAGCGAAAUACAUGGAGAAGAUCUGGGACCUACCUAUAAGCACGCACUGUCCUCAGGGUUCGUCUCCCGACCCUAUCUGACAGGAUUUGACUGUCCAGGGAGCAGGCCUGUAUGGAUUUGCUGAUCCAGCCACAACAGCAGUCUGAUACAUUUCAACUCCCCCUUUAUGAUCCCUAAUAACAUGAUUAAACACUCUGAGGGUUAUUAAAACCCGGGUGAGUAUUACCCAAGUCAUGCCUUCUACUAUUUAUGAGCCAUAAUCUCUGAUUAUGUAUUCAACCCAAAUCACUGUCAACGCAAUAUGGGCUGGCUGCGCUUUAUGGCUGCCCAUUGAUUUCUUGUCUCUCCGGUGAAAGAGAGAGAGAUGGGGAGGGAUGAGCCGACGGGGAGGGAGGGCUGCACGUCAGGCUGUUGAAUAAGUAAAGCAAUCGUUCCUGUUCUCCUCUUUUCCCCCCUGCUCGCUUGUCGCGAUCCUUAAUGCACGCGUCUGAUCAAUAAAAGCUCAUCCUGAGGUCCAUAAA